rnacentral:rRNA from 1 species
UACGAAGGGGGCUAGCGUUGUUCGGAAUUACUGGGCGUAAAGCGCGCGCAGGCGGCUUCUCAAGUCAGGGGUGAAAUCCUGGAGCUCAACUCCAGAACUGCCUUCGAUACUGGGAAGCUCGAGUCCGGGAGAGGUGAGUGGAACUGCGAGUGUAGAGGUGAAAGUCGUAGAUAUUCGCAAGAACACCAGUGGCGAAGGCGGCUCACUGGCCCGGUACUGACGCUGAGGUGCGAAAGCGUGGGGAGCAAACAGG